CCAGCAGCUGCGGUAAUUCCAGCUCCAAUAGCGUAUAUUAAAGUUGUUGCAGUUAAAACGCUCGUAGUCGAACUUUAGACAAGGACGACCGGUCUACCGUAUGGUAGGACUGGAUGUUCCGCGUCUCUCCUUUGGGGAACAGGUGCUUAACGGCGCCCGGGAACCAAGUAUUACUGUGAAGAAAUUAGAGUGUUUAAAGCAGGCGUUUGCUUGAAUACGUUAGCAUGGAAUAAUAAGAUAGGAUUUUGGUUCUAUUUUGUUGGUUUGAGGACCAAGGUAAUGAUUAAUAGGGACAGUUGGGGGCAUUAGUAUUCAGUAGUCAGAGGUGAAAUUCUUGGAUUUACUGAAGA
rnacentral:rRNA from 1 species